rnacentral:lncRNA from 1 species
AGGAAAACUCCGUUCUAUUCCAGAAGCUGCUAUGAGCUAGCGGCUAUGAACUUGUGGCCCAACCACAGGGAAUCAGGAACUUGUGAGUUACAGCCCAGACUCAACUGAUCCUCGCUGACUGACCUCAGGCAAGUUACUUAACAUUUGCCUGUCCCUUAUUUUCCAGCUGUAAAAUGGCAAAAAAUAUUUCCUCAUUCAAGUUAAGCAGACAUCCAUCUGAAAACAGUUACAGAAGCCCUGGGAACAAACUGGCUGACACUUUUGCAUUGCUCAUCACCUCAAUGAAGAUCCAGCGGACGGCCACCCUGGACCUUCUGUUACUAUCCACCUAAUAGACACCUGUGUAUGUGCUCAGUCAUGCACGACUCUUUG